UACAGAGGUCUCAAGCGUUGUUCGGAUUCAUUGGGCGUAAAGGGUGCGUAGGUGGCGUGGUAAGUCGGGUGUGAAAUUUCGGAGCUUAACUCCGAAACUGCAUUCGAUACUGCUGUGCUUGAGGACUGGAGAGGAGACUGGAAUUUACGGUGUAGCAGUGAAAUGCGUAGAGAUCGUAAGGAAGACCAGUGGCGAAGGCGGGUCUCUGGACAGUUCCUGACACUGAGGCACGAAGGUCAGGGGAGCAAACGGG
rnacentral:rRNA from 1 species